rnacentral:rRNA from 1 species
AAAUUGAAGAGUUUGAUCAUGGCUCAGAUUGAACGCUGGCGGCAGGCCUAACACAUGCAAGUCGAACGGUAACAGAAAGCAGCUUGCUGCUUUGCUGACGAGUGGCGGACGGGUGAGUAAUGUCUGGGAAACUGCCUGAUGGAGGGGGAUAACUACUGGAAACGGUAGCUAAUACCGCAUAACGUCGCAAGACCAAAGAGGGGGACCUUCGGGCCUCUUGCCAUCGGAUGUGCCCAGAUGGGAUUAGCUAGUAGGUGGGGUAAAGGCUCACCUAGGCGACGAUCCCUAGCUGGUCUGAGAGGAUGACCAGCCACACUGGAACUGAGACACGGUCCAGACUCCUACGGGAGGCAGCAGUGGGGAAUAUUGCACAAUGGGCGCAAGCCUGAUGCAGCCAUGCCGCGUGUAUGAAGAAGGCCUUCGGGUUGUAAAGUACUUUCAGCGGGGAGGAAGGGAGUAAAGUUAAUACCUUUGCUCAUUGACGUUACCCGCAGAAGAAGCACCGGCUAACUCCGUGCCAGCAGCCGCGGUAAUACGGAGGGUGCAAGCGUUAGAUCGGGAGAGCGUCGAAUACGGAGGGUGCAAGCGUUAGAUCGGGAGAGCGUCG